UGGCGGACGGGUGAGUAAUGUCUGGGAAACUGCCUGAUGGAGGGGGAUAACUACUGGAAACGGUAGCUAAUACCGCAUAACGUCGCAAGACCAAAGAGGGGGACCUUCGGGCCUCUUGCCAUCGGAUGUGCCCAGAUGGGAUUAGCUAGUAGGUGGGGUAAAGGCUCACCUAGGCGACGAUCCCUAGCUGGUCUGAGAGGAUGACCAGCCACACUGGAACUGAGACACGGUCCAG
rnacentral:rRNA from 1 species